AAUUGGGUGAGCCAAUCAAUCUAACAUUUCCUAUGUUACCCGCUGGAAAUGCCGAACUGUGGAAAUUCGUUUGGUACUUGGUGUUAGUAGUAUUUGGGAUGUGGCCUAACUCCGGUACUCCUUAUAAUGAUCCAAUAUCCGUGCUUCAAACAGUU